GUGAAAGAUACAGAAAGGAGGCUGAAGAAUCUACCAAAAGGUUGGAGACAUUAAAGCAGUCUCUGGAUGAUGCUCUGUUUGAGCUUAACUCUGUUAGUAAAGCCAAAGAGGAUAUGUCAAAUAAAGUGAAAAGAGUUGAGUUUGAGGUACAGACCUUAACUGCUCAGUUAAAACUGCUAGAACAGACAAGAGUGGAACAGGACAAAGAAAGAGUAUUGCUCCUACAACGCCAGAAAGAUUUAGAGCAGCAGAUAGCAGAUUCACGAAAAGACUCCAGUCGCAAAG
rnacentral:sRNA from 1 species